rnacentral:rRNA from 1 species
CCUACGGGGGGCAGCAGUUAGGAAUAUUCGUCAAUGGGGGAAACCCUGAACGAGCAAUGCCGCGUGAAGGAUGACGGUCCUAUGGAUUGUAAACUUCUGUUGUUAGGGAAGAACGACCUAAGUAGGAAAUGACUUAGGAGUGACGGUACCUUUCAAGAAAGCUCCGGCUAACUACGUGCCAGCAGCCGCGGUAAUACGUAGGGAGCGAGCGUUAUCCGGAUUUAUUGGGUUUAAAGGGUGCGUAGGCGGAUUUUUAAGUCAGCGGUAAAAUGUCCGGGCUCAACCCGGGCCGGCCGUUGAAACUG